AAGGAUCACCCUACUAGAGUAAAGAAAAAGAUAGCUGGGCAUUCAGAAUAUCAGAUGCCAGUUAAGUGUAUGUACAAAAACUACAAUAUAAGGAAAUGUCCAAUGUCAUAUGAGUGGCAUGAGUGAUUUGGGAAUUUAUAGGUCAUAAAAAUUCCAACUGAGAUAAACAGGGAAGACUGGCAGGAGGACACUCAAACUGGAAAGAUGAGGGCAAGAAAUAGCUGAGAUCCAAUCAGAAACAAAAAGCCAGACUGUGGGAGUCAGUAGGACUAUUCAGAUAUGAAUGAGAGAACAUGUAGCCUAUUUUCGACUACUGGACAACUUACCUACAAGAUGAAGCCAACAAUGUUGUUAGCACAGAAAGACAAAAUAAAACCUGGAUCCUUGAUCAUAUUACUAAACUGCUGGAUCAAUGAAUUCUGAUACACGCUGCCAAGCAUGUGGGCCAAUAAAUGUACUCAUUGUUGAAGCCA